AGAGUUUGAUCCUGGCUCAGAACGAACGCUGGCGGCGUGGAUAAGACAUGCAAGUCGAACGGGAUAUUUUUGUAGCAAUACCGAAAUAUUCAGUGGCGAACGGGUGCGUAACACGUGGGUAACAUGCCGGGAAGAGGAGAAUAGCCCAGGGAAACUUGGAUUAAUGCUCCAUGUGGUCGCGAGACUAAAGACGGGGUAACCUGUCGCUUCCUGAUUGGCCCGCGGCCUAUCAGCUAGUUGGUGAGGUAAAGGCUCACCAAGGCAACGACGGGUAGCUGGUCUGAGAGGAUGACCAGCCACACUGGAACUGAGACACGGUCCAGACACCUACGGGUGGCAGCAGUCGAGAAUCUUUCACAAUGGGGGCAACCCUGAUGGAGCGACGCCGCGUGGAGGAUAAGGUCUUCGGAUUGUAAACUCCUGUCAUGCGAGAGUAAGGCUCACGCGUUAACUGCGUGUGAGAUUGACAGUACCGCAAGAGGAAGAGACGGCUAACUCUGUGCCAGCAGCCGCGGUAAUACAGAGGUCUCAAGCGUUGUUCGGAAUUACUGGGCGUAAAGGGUGCGUAGGCUGCGCAGAAAGUCAGCUGUGAAAUCCGGGGGCUCAACCUCCGAAUUGCAUCCGAUACUCCUGUGCUAGAGGACUGGAGAGGAGCUUGGAAUUCUCGGUGUAGCAGUGAAAUGCGUAGAGAUCGAGAGGAACACUAGUGGCGAAAGCUGGGCUCUGGACAGUAUCUGACGCUGAGGCACGAAAGGUCAGGGGAGCAAACGGGAUUAGAUACCCCCGUAGUCC
rnacentral:rRNA from 1 species